rnacentral:pre_miRNA from 9 species
CCGAAACGCAUUAAAAGUUAACUCAAAUUUGUAUGGAGUUGGAACAACUUCCCUUCGUUUGCCGCUAGGGGCGCUGUUCCAACUCCAUACAAAUUCGAGUUAACUUUUACGUGAUCGA